UCCAGCCAUGCCGCGUGUGUGAAGAAGGCCUUUUGGUUGUAAAGCACUUUAAGCGAGGAGGAGGCUACUUGGAUUAAUACUCUAGGAUAGUGGACGUUACUCGCAGAAUAAGCACCGGCUAACUCUGUGCCAGCAGCCGCGGUAAUACAGAGGGUGCGAGCGUUAAUCGGAUUUACUGGGCGUAAAGCGUGCGUAGGCGGCUUUUUAAGUCGGAUGUGAAAUCCCUGAGCUUAACUUAGGAAUUGCAUUCGAUACUGGGAAGCUAGAGUAUGGGAGAGGAUGGUAGAAUUCCAGGUGUAGCGGUGAAAUGCGUAGAGAUCUGGAGGAAUACCGAUGGCGAAGGCAGCCAUCUGGCCUAAUACUGACGCUGAGGUACGAAAGCAUGGGGAGCAAACAGGAUUAGAUACCCUGGUAGUCCAUGCCGUAAACGAUGUCUACUAGCCGUUGGGGCCUUUGAGGCUUUAGUGGCGCAGCUAACGCGAUAAGUAGACCGCCUGGGGAGUACGGUCGCAAGACUAAAACUCAAAUGAAUUGACGGGGGCCCGCACAAGCGGUGGAGCAUGUGGUUUAAUUCGAUGCAACGCGAAGAACCUUACCUGGUCUUGACAUAGUAAGAACUUUCCAGAGAUGGAUUGGUGCCUUCGGGAACUUACAUACAGGUGCUGCAUGGCUGUCGUCAGCUCGUGUCGUGAGAUGUUGGGUUAAGUCCCGCAACGAGCGCAACCCUUUUUCCUUAUUUGCCAGCGGGUUAAGCCGGGAACUUUAAAGGAUACUGCCAGUGACAAACUGGAGGAAGGCGGGGACGA
rnacentral:rRNA from 1 species